UUAAAAUAAGAGAAACUUACCAGGCAGCCAUGAGGCCUCUCCAUCAUGUAGAAAUGAAGCACAUGAGGGGAGGGGGCAUUGUGGAGCACUUGGGCCCCACUGUCUUUUGGUUCAUCAUUUCAACAUGCCAGGAGGCCUGCCAGAGAGGCCUCUUGGCUGCCUGAUUCUGUCACAUUGAGAGUCUCUCCAAUCAAACUUCCUGAUGACCUUUUGUCUGAACAGCUUGACAACAAAAUCCAUACCCAAAAGCAAUUUACCUCUGUUUGAACCAUGUGAACCCUGUGAAGCCUCAGAUCGUGCACUGCUCCAUAAAUAUCCACAGAGUCCUUCAAGUCCAAUUGCUGGAGAAUUCGAUCCAGUGCAAUGAAUGUCCCUGUUCUACCAACUCCAGCACUGAAAGAUGAAACACAAACUGUUUUAUUUAAUCUUUUCCCCAUUGCUAUUGUUAUAUGCAGGUAGCUCAAAUUGAGUUACAUUUUGUAUUCAUUCUUCUUUUGCAUUUCAUUUCUGAAUAGAAUCCAUAUUAUUCAGACGUGGGGGAGGACCAAGGAUAUCUCCCAACCCACUUCUUUGAUAAUUUCUCAAAUAACUGCUGUCUGUGUUUUAGGAUGGAAAAACCUUAUUGAUUAUCUAAAGCAGUGGUUCUCAACCUGGGGUCCCCAGAUGUUUAUGGCCUACAACUUCCAGAAAUCCCAGCCAGUUUACCAGCUGUUAGGUUUUCUGGGAAUUGAAGGCCAAAAACACUGGGGGACCCCAAGUUGAGAACCACUGAUCUAAAGUCACAUUGGCUGAAUGGUGCAUGAAAACACCAUUCAGUUAUCCUCAUUCUUCAAUGAAAGUGGUGUCUUACCUGCAGUGUACUAUAGUUGGUCCAGCUUGAGGUGUUCGGUUGAUAUAAUCUCGUACAGUCCUUACAAACUGGAUAAGGGACUGGGUGGUUUCUGGCACACCAUGGUCUGGCCAUACAGUAUAAUGGAACUGUCGAAUAAGUCUGGAAGAAUCAAGUUGCUCCUCCUACGAGGUACAUAGUAGGGAAAAGUUAGACAUAGGAAGGAGAUAGUGACACAUCACUUUCCUUCCCAAGUAUUGAUGUCUAGCCUAUUAACAGUUCUUGACUGCUUUGUCUUCUUUGUUAUCGUUAUGUGCAAACAAUUUUUAGAACAGCAAACAUAAAAAUGUUGUCAACGAUCUGGAAAGUAGUGCUCAGACAUAUUGCACUGUGUACAGGGUAUAUAAAAGUAACACACUGGAAGAUUUUAUGAGUUGUAUUCCAAUAAAAGAUUUUUCUUCCACGUC